rnacentral:rRNA from 1 species
UACGUAGGGUGCAAGCGUUGUCCGGAUUUAUUGGGCGUAAAGCGUGCGUAGGCGGCUGCGCAAGUCGGUUGUGAAACCCCGGGGCUCAACCCCGGAACUGCAUCCGAUACUGCGUGGCUAGAGGUAGGUAGGGGAGAUCGGAAUUCCUGGUGUAGCGGUGAAAUGCGCAGAUAUCAGGAGGAACACCGGUGGCGAAGGCGGAUCUCUGGGCCUUACCUGACGCUCAGGCACGAAAGCUAGGGGAGCGAACAGG